rnacentral:rRNA from 1 species
AGGACGAACGCUGGCGGCGUGCUUAACACAUGCAAGUGGAGCGACGAACCGGGGCUUGCCCCGGGGCAGAGCCGCGAACGGGUGAGUAACACGUGGGUUACCUGCCCCAAUGACCGGGACAACCCGAGGAAACUCGGGCUAAUACCGGAUGUAGUCUUCGGACUAAAGGAAGCUUCGGCCUCCGCAUUGGGGAUGGGCCCGCGGCGCAUUAGCUAGUUGGUGGGGUAACGGCCUACCAAGGCGACGAUGCGUAGCUGGUCUGAGAGGACGAUCAGCCACACUGGGACUGAGACACGGCCCAGACUCCUACGGGAGCAGCAGUGGGGAAUCUUGCGCAAUGCGCGAAAGCGUAGACG